GGGUGCGAUCAUACCAGCGUUAAUGCACCGAAUCCCAUCAGAACUCCGCAGUUAAGCGAGGUUGGGC
rfam:Picea glauca, whole genome shotgun sequence.